UAAAGAUCGUUAACGAAUUUAUUUUUUUUAAUCAAAAUGACCAAAUUUAUUAUUCAAAUAAUAAAGAUUAUGCAUUGACAAAAAAGUGUUGAGUGGGGAAGUGUCGGGAUAAGAUUUAAUGUCUCAUUGCUAAAACAAGUAAUUGUGAUUUCAAAGUUUGAUAUUCUAGACCGACCAAAUAUAAUGGCACUUGAAGUGAUUAUGGAAUAUAGAUUGCUCUCAAAUGUUAAUACAGGUCUUUGAAUUUUUUUACAGCCCAAGAAAACUUAGAAGUACUAGUAGUGUGAUUGGUCUAUAGAUUAUAUUUGUGAGCACAGUAGAAUGAGAUUCAAACACUUUAUAAGGACGGUAGAAAAUAGGUAUUUAAUAGUGUUCACUUAAACGAGUGAUGUUAAAUGCCCACAUUUUACAAUGUUCGUUUGAAUGUGCGC
rnacentral:lncRNA from 1 species